rnacentral:rRNA from 1 species
UAAGGCGCUCAGCCGAGCGGUACUAAUUGCCCAGUAGAGCUCCGAGAGGGCCGCGCCCUUAGCGGGCAGACGCCGCUUCGUCCGAAGAAUGUCAAGAAUCUAAAGAUACAAGAUUUUAGACGUUAGACGAAGACCGAAUGGCAUAUGCCGUGAAGUCUAAAGUCUAGGUACUAAAUACUAAAGUCUAAAAAUAAGACUUAGGUGGCUAGGCGGCGGGGCUCCACCCCUUCCCAUUCCGAACAGGGCCGUUAAGCCCGCCAGCGCCGAUGGUACUGCUACACCAAGCGGGAGAGUAGGUGGCCGCCAAAC